rnacentral:sRNA from 1 species
UCGUCAGUCCUACGGCAUAUAUGGCCAGCC